rnacentral:rRNA from 1 species
GUUGACCUCGGAUCAGGUAGGAAUACCCGCUGAACUUAAGCAUAUCAAUAAGCGGAGGAAAAGAAACCAACAGGGAUUGCCCUAGUAACGGCGAGUGAAGCGGCAACAGCUCAAAUUUGAAAUCUGGCCUCGGCCCGAGUUGUAAUUUGCAGAGGAUGCUUCUGGCGCGGUGCCUUCCGAGUUCCCUGGAACGGGACGCCACAGAGGGUGAGAGCCCCGUAUGGUCGGACACCAAGCCUGUGUGAAGCUCCUUCGACGAGUCGAGUAGUUUGGGAAUGCUGCUCAAAAUGGGAGGUAAAUCUCUUCUAAAGCUAAAUACUGGCCAGAGACCGAUAGCGCACAAGUAGAGUGAUCGAAAGAUGAAAAGCACCUUGAAAAGGGGGUUAAACAGUACGUGAAAUUGUUGAAAGGGAAGCGCUUGUGACCAGACUUGCGCCGGGCGGCUCAUCAGGGGUUCUCCCCUGUGUACUCCGCCCGGUUCAGGCCAGCAUCGGUUCUCGCCGGGGGAUAACAACGGUGGGAACGUGGCCCUCCCUCGGGGGGGUGUUAUAGCCCGCCGUACGAUAUCCUGGCGGGGACCGAGGUUCGCGCUCCGCAAGGAUGCUGGCGUAAUGGUCAUCAGCGACCCGUCUUGAAACACGGACCAAGGAGUCGUCCAUUAGAGCGAGCGUUUGGGUGUAAAACCCGCACGCGUAAUGAAAGUGAAAUUAGGUGAGAGCUUCGGCGCAUCAUCGACCGAUCCUGAUGUUCUCGGAUGGAUUUGAGUAAGAGUUUUAACGGACGGACCCGAAAGACAGUGAACUAUGCUUGUAUAGGGUGAAGCCAGAGGAAACUCUGGUGGAGGCUCGCAGCGGUUCUGACGUGCAAAUCGAUCGUCAAAUAUGAGCAUGGGGGCGAAAGACUAAUCGAAC